GGAGGCAGCAGUGGGGAAUUUUGGACAAUGGGCGCAAGCCUGAUCCAGCCAUGCCGCGUGAGUGAAGAAGGCCUUCGGGUUGUAAAGCUCUUUCGGCCGGGAAGAAAUCGCAUUGGUUAAUACCUGGUGUGGAUGACGGUACCGGAAUAAGAAGCACCGGCUAACUACGUGCCAGCAGCCGCGGUAAUACGUAGGGUGCGAGCGUUAAUCGGAAUUACUGGGCGUAAAGCGUGCGCAGGCGGUUUUGUAAGACAGGCGUGAAAUCCCCGGGCUCAACCUGGGAACUGCGCUUGUGACUGCAAGGCUAGAGUACGGCAGAGGGGGGUGGAAUUCCACGUGUAGCAGUGAAAUGCGUAGAGAUGUGGAGGAACACCAAUGGCGAAGGCAGCCCCCUGGGUCGAUACUGACGCUCAUGCACGAAAGCGUGGGUAGCAAACAGGAUUAGAUACCCUGGUAGUCCACGCCCUAAACGAUGUCAACUAGGUGUUGGGAGGGUAAAACCUUUUAGUACCGGAGCUAACGCGUGAAGUUGACCGCCUGGGGAGUACGGCCGCAAGGUUAAAACUCAAAGGAAUUGACGGGGACCCGCACAAGCGGUGGAUGAUGUGGAUUAAUUCGAUGCAACGCGAAAAACCUUACCUACCCUUGACAUGUCAGGAAGUCUUGAGAGAUUGAGAUGUGCCCGAAAGGGAACCUGAACACAGGUGCUGCAUGGCUGUCGUCAGCUCGUGUCGUGAGAUGUUGGGUUAAGUCCCGCAACGAGCGCAACCCUUGUCGUUAAUUGCCAUCAUUUAGUUGGGCACUUUAGCGAGACUGCCGGUGACAAACCGGAGGAAGGUGGGGAUGACGUCAAGUCCUCAUGGCCCUUAUGGGUAGGGCUUCACACGUCAUACAAUGGUCGGUACAAAGGGUCGCCAACCCGCGAGGGGGAGCCAAUCCCAGAAAGCCGAUCGUAGUCCGGAUUGCAGGCUGCAACUCGCCUGCAUGAAGUCGGAAUCGCUAGUAAUCGUGGAUCAGCAUGUCACGGUGAAUACGUUCCCGGGCCUUGUACACACCGCC
rnacentral:rRNA from 1 species